rnacentral:rRNA from 1 species
GAUGAACGCUGGCGGCGUGCCUAAUACAUGCAAGUCGAGCGAACAGAUGAGGAGCUUGCUCCUCUGACGUUAGCGGCGGACGGGUGAGUAACACGUGGAUAACCUACCUAUAAGACUGGGAUAACUUCGGGAAACCGGAGCUAAUACCGGAUAAUAUAUUGAACCGCAUGGUUCAAUAGUGAAAGACGGUUUUGCUGUCACUUAUAGAUGGAUCCGCGCCGCAUUAGCUAGUUGGUAAGGUAACGGCUUACCAAGGCAACGAUGCGUAGCCGACCUGAGAGGGGGAUCGGCCACACUGGAACUGAGACACGGUCCAGACUCCGACGGGAGGCAGCAGUAGGGAAUCUUCCGCAAUGGGCGAAAGCCUGACGGAGCAACGCCGCGUGAGUGAUGAAGGUCUGCGGAUCGUAAAACUCUGUUAUUAGGGAAGAACAAAUGUGUAAGUAACUAUGCACGUUUUGACGGUACCUAAUCAGAAAGCCACGGCUAACUACGG